rnacentral:rRNA from 1 species
UACAGAGGUCUCAAGCGUUGUUCGGAUUCAUUGGGCGUAAAGGGUGCGUAGGCGGCGCGGUAAGUCGGGUGUGAAAUCUCGGAGCUUAACUCCGAAACUGCAUUCGAUACUGCCGUGCUUGAGGACUGGAGAGGAGACUGGAAUUUACGGUGUAGCGGUGAAAUGCGUAGAUAUCGGGAAGAACACCCGUGGCGAACGCGGUUCUCUGGGACGGUACUGACGCUGAGACGCGAAAGCGUGGGGAGCGAACAGG